rnacentral:lncRNA from 1 species
GACCCCGUGACGAUGCUGAUGCCCCUGUGGUCGACUACAUCACCGACGACCCCUCUCUCUUGCCAGAGCAACCAGGCAAGCCCCCCCCCCUUUGAUCACCAGAUAUCGCCUACUCUUCUCUAUACUGCUUGCAUUAGAGUAGUGUAGCAUGUUACUGCUUUCCGUUAAUCCUAUUCUGAUGCAUAGCCUGUCAUUGCUGCUACAGUCAUUGAUACCUUACCCGCAAUCCUAAAUGCUUAGUAUAGGAUGCUAGUGUUCCAUCAGUGGCCCUACACUCUUGUCCGUCUGCCAUGCUAUACUACUGGACUGUGAUCACUUCGGGAGGUGAUCACGGGCAUAUACUAUAUACUUUACACUGUUACAUUACCUGUGAUACUGUUUGGAGUUGGGGGCUGAAAGGACAGGUGGCUCCAUCCCGGUAGAGGUGGGCCUGGGUUCCCGACGGUCCCCGACGGUUACUUUGUGGCAGAGCGACAGGGCAGGUUGAGACCACCUAGGAGACAGGUGGGCCUGGCCCUGUUCGGCGUUCGCGGAUACUUAACACGCUUAACGAGAUCUUGGUAUUUGAUCUGAGUUGGCUACGAGCCUAUACGCACUAACCAUCUAUGCGGGAGUAGUUAUGGGUAUCCCGACGUCGUGGUAUCAGCCGAAGCACUUCAGACGUCAGCGACGGAGCGGCGCGCGCCGGAUUGGAAUGUAAGCCUGCUCUUGUAUUAAGGGGGCUAGUUCUGCUUCCGGCCGCCCACGCAACGUGCAGGUGUGCUAUGGGCGAUGGGCCCAGACCCCUGUGCGCUUAGGUUUAGACCGGCGUGCUGGCCUCUCUGUUUUACCUAGGUGGGGCUGCGACGUGUUGAUCUUCCGCGGCCGGGCAUGACCCAGGAAAGUGUGUCUGGCCAAAUGGGAUCAAGCGUGUUGGGUUAUGUGGUGCACCCCUGCAGGGAAGUUAAUCUAUUCGAAUAGCCGUGAUCUUCGGUAACAGGACGACUUGGAGUUGUACCUUGACCUUAUGACAACUAGAAUCGGAUACUUAAUAAAACACACCCUUCCAAGUGCCAGAUACAACCGGUGGUCGCUCUCCCUCAGGGAUAUGAGGAGGGGAUCGCCGGGUAGGAUUAUGCUAUGUGAUGCUAUUUGGAGAUGCUACUUGGAGAUGCUACUUGGAGGACUUCAAUCUACUCUCUUCAACUUGAUGCAAGACGGAGGCUGCCAGAAGCGUAGUCUUCGACAGGAUUAGCUAUCCCCCUCUUAUUCUGGCAUUCUGCAGUCCAGUCCACUGAUAUGGCCUCCUUACACAUAUACCCAUGCAUAUGUAGUGUAGUUCCUUGCUUGCGAGUACUUUGGAUGAGUACUCACGGUUGCUUUCUUCCCCCCCUUUUCCCCUUUUCCUUUCUUUCUGGUUGUCGCAACCAGAUGCUGGAGUCCAGGAGCCAGACGCCACCGUCGACGACGACCCCUACUACACCGGAGGUGCCCCUACUACGUGCAGCCCGCUGACGACGUCCAGGAGUAGUUAGGAGGAUCCCAGGCAGGAGGCCUGCGCCUCUUUCGAUCUGUAUCCCAGUUUGUGCUAGCCUUCUUAAGGCAAACUUGUUUAACUUAUGUCUGUACUUAGAUAUUGUUGCUUCCGCUGACUCGUCUAUGAUCGAGCACUUGUAUUCGAGCCCUCGAGGCCCCUGGCUUGUAUUAUGAUGCUUGUAUGACUUAUUUAUGUUUUAGAGUUGUGUUGUGAUAUCUUCCCAUGAGUCCCUGAUCUUGAUCGUACACGUUUGCGUGCAUGAUUAGUGUACGAUUGGAUCGGGGGCGUCACAAUUUGUCACCCAUGGCUCCUGAUUAGAGAGAUGGACAUGCUUGGUUGGAGUCGUCGUCGUCCUGGUUGGGGAGAUGAGCAUGCUUAUAUUACAAAGAUUAGAGUGUAGUCCUUCUAUGCCUUCUAAUUAGAUAGUGUGGCUUGAUUUUAGAGAUGCUUACAAUCUCUUGUCACAGAAUUUUAUAACCGCGUUCUCAUGGAAAACAACCCUCUCCCCAAGCUGCACUGCUCUUCACCGCUCCACACCGUCGUGCUCUGCACUGUUCAAACUAUUUCGUGUAGAGCCAAUUUUUGUUCUUUUUCCAAUAAAUGGUUCUUUCUAUUCUUUUUCUAAAUCUUGAUUGAAUCGAGAUAUCUUCUCUUGGAAAAUCAUAUUUUCUUCACUUCUUGGGACAGUGUUACUCAAAUUUUUUUGGAGCAUGUUUUUUGUUUCUACAUUGACUUUGAUUAAUUGUUUCUCUUGACUUCCUAUGUGAUUGAGAUGCGUGCCUAUCUUGACUGUUCUGUUGUGUUUGUAAUUUCUUCCCACUAGGACAUUAUAACUCUUAUUAGAUAAUCUGCAACAUGCUCCUAUGGUAAGGGUGUCCUAAAUUGGCGAUUCAUAUCGUUGGUGGAAACCCACCUAUCUAUUUCUUAGAAAAAACUAGCCAGCAUGGGGAGAAGGUACACAUCCAUGUACAGUAGGGAUACCUAAUCCUAAAAAGUAGAAAGAAACAUGGCCAGAAUAAGAACUGCGCACUGUUCUUAACAGGAUAUAGUAUUUGCAUGCUAUUGAGAGUUCAUGUGGUUAUUAGGAAAAAGACUUAUAGAGUUAUCGAUUUAAUCAAAUUAAAAAUGCUUGCUUCCUCUGGUUAUUAGACUAUGCUUUCAGGACAUAGUAGUUUGUUAUUUGGUUUUGGAUGAUGCUUGUGAGUGCAGUUCCUGAAUCUCAACACUCUUUUUAAUUGACAUCGCCUAUCAUGCAAAAGAAAAACUCAUUUGUUCUACACAUCCUUUUUGUCCGCUUUAUUGGUUUAGAUAUUUUAAAGUAAGCUUGAUUUUCAUUUGGUAUUAUUUUGAUGUCACAAUUGUUGUUCCAGCCACUCUUGGCUGCAGCCCUCGGCCGAGCUCAUGCAUCAUUAUUUGUGUAUUGUUCGCAGGCUUCGGAAGAUGCCAGUAUAACAGUUGACAAGGGAACUAAUGCUUGCACUGUCAUUAAAAUUGCUAGAGCUGCUGCGCAAAAAGUUAGGAAGGUACUUAAAGAGAAGGAAGACAAUUCACAAAGAAUUGGGAAACAGGUAAAUGAUAUGUAUAUGCACGUCAUAUUGUCUUAUUUACUCUGUUUUAGCAUCGUUCUUACCUGAAACUUGCGCCUGAACCAACAUUACUUUCAGAUGUGCCAUAGAUAAUCCAUCCCCAUCUACUUUUGUACAAUUUUCUGCGCACAACUAGUGAUAGUUUUGUUUAUUUGUCCAUGUAAUUAUGCGGACUACAUCAUACAGAACUAGCCAACAUUGUUCAUUGUAGCAUCAUACAUCUACUUUCUACCCUGUUGUAAAUGGCUUUCGUAAAUUAGAGAAGAACUAACUAAUGUGUUGCCAAUCCUGAGAUAUCAAACAUAUUGUUGCUAGCAGACCUCAAAGAAAAACCAUGUGCCAUGUCGAGUCCCAUUACAAAGAGAAGAGUAUGUAUACAUAGAGAAGAAAGUGAUAAUAGAACUUGUCAGUCGAUCCGUGGAACAUGGAUGGGUAAUUGUAAUAGCGAAUUGUUCUAGUUUACUCCAUCCUUGAUCUGGCAGCAAAACAGGGACCUGUUGUACUCCUUAUAAACUACUUUAGUUUUAUAAUCAUCUUUUAUUUCUCUCUUCAGUUUUGUCAGCAAACACAUCGAGGCAUCUGAACAAAUUGUCACAACUACAUGAAGACAGGGACCUGCAAAUUUGGAUCCACAGGUAAAUACGAUCAUCAUCUAUACCUGACUACACCUAGGUCCAACUAUAUGCUGAAGCCCCUAGGUCUUCCAAUUUGUCCUGUGAGUAGCUCUUAUGCAUCAGUCUGAUUUCUUACAUUAAAGUAAUAUGUUAUCAUCAAAUGAAAGUUAAUCCAAAAGCAUACAACUGAAUCAUCAUUUCCAUGUUGUCCUUGAUAAGAUUGGCAUCACAUCUUAUUGUUCUAAUAUUGUGAAGUUGAUAAGUGAAGUUUCGUUUACUUAUGUAGUUUGGUCUAAUUGCAAACUGCAAAGUUAGGGAAGCGUAGUGAUCAUUCAGUUUUCCAAUUAUUACAAGUUUUGAGUGUUAGGAUAGGACUUUUUUUGCGGGAUGUGUUACGGUAGGACUUGAAAGUAGUGCAGCUCGCUGGUAUUCUGUCAUAGAGGGAUUGUUGGUAAUGUUGUAGUUUUAUGUUUAUAAUUUACUUCAAAUGAAUUGUUUCACAUAGUAUGUCUGUAGGAGCAAAGUAACCUCAGUGUUUAAAUGCACAUAGCUAAGAAAGAUUUGAUCUUGGAUCCAUGAGUUAUUUGGCAGGACGGCUUUGUACUAUUUCAGUUCCAUGAGUAUUAAUUUAUCAGGCCUGAUUUCCCAAGUUUUAAUUUUAGCUUUGUAGUCAGACUCUGAAGCUUGCUUGUUACCUUUUUGAUAGUACCUUCAUUAGAACCAAAGAUGUUUUAGUUAAGUGAUAUUCGUGAGUCCUUGCUCAUAUGUAUUCAUGUUUUAUUAUCAAUCUCUAAACUACUCUUACUAGAAUGGUUUGAGUGCCUGAUUUGUUCUCGCUUGUUGCUUCAGGGGCGCAACGGGUCAUAAUCUGUCGCAGAUAAGAUAUGUUGCAGAUCACCUUAACGAUGCAACUUGACAAUUAGAGCACAUUCUACAGGAAACAAGCAGGUAUUAUAUGGGGUCAUUUAUGCUUUUGGUAGCCCACUAGACACACCCACCAUGAAGAGCUUCUUUGACAAUAAAGUCGUUUUUUAUACCGAUGGCGCAGUGAGACUCUACCUGAUAUUCUUCACUACUCACCACGAGCUAAAUGAUCGAAGCUAUCAAUAUAUAUAAUGCAUUUCUACGUAUGUAGCAUGCUUGAUACAUGCAAUGUAAAUAAGCUAUCGUAAACUAAUCGCAUGUCUUUCUUAUAACGCUGUGUAUCAACUUCAUACAUAAAUAUCUAUUUCCAUAUUGUAACAUCCCGAUUCUCGGAAUGUUUAAGUAAAAGUUUUCCAAAAAUCAGGGUGAGAAAAUUUCACUUGUUUAAUUUGUUAACAAAGCUUAAAUUGGACUUCUAUAAUUUGAAGGAUUUAAUUUGAACUAACGUGAACCUAAAUUAAAAUUUGAGUUUAGUUCUUUUCUUUUAGUCGGGCUUUAUUUUCUCUUCUUUGGCAUAUUUAAAUAUGUGCCUUGAAUUUUCUUUGGGUUACUGAAAUUCGUUUGAUUGCUCGAGCUUAUUUUCCUUCUCUAGAUUUCCUAAAACGGAAAUCAAUUUCUUUUCCUUUUCUCAAUCUCGGGCCAAAUUCCAUUGGACCAUUAGAUACAUUCUACCAUUUGAAUUGUCCACCUAUCUUACUCAUACUUUCCAUCCAUGCAUACAUUGUUUCUGAGACAAAUCCACCAAUACAUGCAUCUGUACAUCUCUCUUCUCUUCCCUGGAUUCAUCCAAUUGUUUUUGUUUUCUUUCUCAAGUCACAUGGGCUUAGCCCAUCUAUUUUUUUUCCUCCCCUCCUCUCCACAUGGGCUUCCAUCCACUUGGCCCAUCCAAUGAAUGCCUCUCCUUACGUUCACAAUUCCAGAAGGGGAACAACCAACACACACAUACCAGAAGAGAAAACGCACACAGAAUAGGAAGCGUACAGGCAUGAUGGAGACUCCUCUUUCUGUUUAAUUGCUACCUUUACAAAUAUGAAGAUACUUGCCCAUCUUUCAACGUCAACCCCAAGCGCUUCUCCUUCCUCCACCCUCGCGUAAGCGCACACAGUACAGAGAAGAAGAAACGUUCAGCCACUCUCAUGCCCUCCCCUCAACUCCCAUAAAUCUCAAUCAUUUUCAGUUUUGAAGAUACCUAGACGUCCACCACGAUCUCCUUUGUCAUUCCCAACAGUCCUCAUGCCCUCUCUCUUCCUCCUCUGCCAAAGAACCCUCACCACACUUUUGAAGCUCCAUGGACGCAAGGUUUCGAUCCCGGUGACUCAUACCAUCUCCAUCCAUGCCCUUGCGCCAGAAGGUUCCCCUGCACAUUAUGGUUCCAUUCAGGAAAGAAGGAACAUGUCCCGUCGAUCACACCCGAAGAAUUUAGCAUGUUCGUCUACACUGUUCAUCGAGUUCGUCGGAUCGAUUCGUCGCGCUCGGUGAGCUUCUAUCCAAUUCCUUUUGUGCACUUUCAAAAUAUCACUCAAGUUAUCUCCUAGACAUCAUGGUUCCUCCUAUGUUUAUCGUUGGUCGCGUUGAUGCUAUCCGUCGCAUAAACCAUAGGCCAUGGUCAUAUUUCCAUCGCUUUUGUUCAUCGUUUGAUCUUGACCACAAUAGAAGAAAUGUUUUAUAUGGUUGUAGCAAUCCCGUAGUGGAGUUAGAUUACUUGUUUGGUUAAUCGAGUUUUAUUAUAGAUUUUUGGUUGUUGAUCGGACUAUUUAUUAAUAUGUAUUUUCUUGUGUUCUUGAUAUGGGUAGGAGUGUGUGCUAGCUAUCUCAUAAUUUGUGUCAUAUGGUUUACUAGAUUUAGUUUACUCUUGUUUAAAUUGCUAAAAUAGUUGUGCAUCAUUCGGCUCGAUAAUUUUUGGUAGCACGUAUUUCCCUUUUAUGCAUGCGUAUUUAUGAAUUAUAGUCAUGUGUAGCAUUUUGUGUUUUUAAUAUAGAUUGAUUUUGAGUUACUAAAUAUCAUAUAAUUUUGUAGUCCUGUGUUAUGCGAGUGUACAAGUGUUUGUGAAUGUUUACCAUGUGUAGAAGUUGAUUGGUGUAUUUGAUUAUCAUUGUUCGUACGUGUUUGGCGGGUGUUAUUAUUUUAAUUAGAUUUAGAUCAUUAUUGAUGAAAUCUUUUAUUUAUUAUUUUAAAAAUAUUUGGUACUAUUUGUUGUUCUAUAUUAAAAAUGUGUAUAGAUUUCUAGUGAUAUUCUCCAUGCGUAGAGCCUUGUAGAAUUAUUGUUUUACUUGAUUUCUUUAAUUAUGAAAUACUUGAUGUAUUGAUUAUUUAAUUUUGAUUAGCAUGGUGAUAUCUUAGAUAUGGUUUAAAUAUUCAUUUCCAUCCAUGUCGCAUGUUUGUUCUAUUGGUUCGAAAUCAUUGUCUUGUCUAUGAUCGAUGUUCACAUUUUUUUCAUACAUGUUGCAUAGUUCUUUUAUGCUAGAAGUCAAAUGAUAUGCUUUCUUAUUUGAGAACAAACCCAUUGUGGUUCUUGUCGCAUAAUAUACUAUUGCCUAGAUGAUCCUCUUGUUUUGUAGAUGUUUGUUAUCCAUUAUUUUAUGAGGUUGGUUGCUUCAUGUCAUGAUUCAGAAUUGUAUUGUUAUUGCUUGUAUCAUAGAAUUUAAUUUAUACUUCUUGUUAUCCUAGAUGUUUUGUUUACCUAGGAUGGUAGUUGCACAUGCUUAGUUGCUAGACAUGCCAUGUUACUACUUACUCAAAGUAUAAUGCAUAUUUUGGUUAUAUGGCUACAUGUGGUAUAUCAUUGCUAGUUUGUAUACUAUGUUCAUGCAUUGGUUAGCCUUUAAUUGUUAGAUAUACAUGAUAGUAGUUUGUUGGUCUCAUACAUUCUUGUAUUGAGUAAAUUGUGCUUUAUCAAUACGAUGCCAUAUUAUUGUGAUUGCAUAAUUAGGUUGUAUAGCAUGUGCAUAGCAAUUCAGGUACUAGAUCAUGCCUAAGUUGUCUAGCUAUCUAUGUACUUGCAAGUGUAUGGCGUACUAGAUGGGAAAUGCAUGUCAUCUUGUUAUUCAUGCUUUUAUAACACAUGUUGAUUUGGUUGAUGAGAUGAUCUAGUUGUAUACUUUUGUACGUGCUUAGUAUGCUUCCAUGUUCUCAUUUAUCAUAACUAGCAUGGUAGUGUUGUAUGCUAACAUCGUGCUUGAUUUUUAGGUCACUUGUUAUCAACUAGGUUAUCUCAUAGUUACACGUUGCAUUUUAUUAGUAGCAUAAUUUGGUAUCUCGUGUCAUGAUCAUCUAUGCUUAGCAUCAUAUCUGGUUUAGAUUACUGUUGCAUUUGUGGUAUGCCUAAGUCUAAACAUCAAGUCAUGCUAGUUAUCUUUCAUGUGUUAUUAUAUUUCAUGUGUUAUAGUUGUACUUGUAUUGCUCAUAUAUGCUUGACUUGUUUGAUGUUAGUGUUAUGAGUGUUUGGCACAUGUUGCAUUAGCUCAUCACAUGAUUAGGAUAGUUUACCUUUCAAUAGUUGAGUUGUAUCUUUCUCAUAUGCUUAGUGCACAUUGUUGCUUUGUUGUUAAUCAUGUUGUGGUAAUCUUUUUGGUAGAGGUCAUUUGGAUAUUAGUUGUUUCCUUUAUUAUAAAGAGUGUCCUAGUUUAAGUGUCUUCUCAUGAUCACUCAUAUGUUUAAUGCUUGUGUUAUUAGAUAAGACCUCUUCACGAUUUUGUACUCACAUGCCUUGUAUGAUGUGUCUAGUUAUUUAAUUUUCCAAUUAGUUUUAUGAUAGCAUUGGUUUGUCUUUUUUCAUAGAAAUGCUUGCUAAUAGUUGUUAUGAUUGGUGUUUAGUCUUUGCCUAUUGUUAACCAUUAUAAAUAUUUGGAUACAUCCAAAUAUUUACUUGUGGUUGAUUAUUAAUCUUAAUCAUAUCAUGCCUAGAUAGUAGUUCACUCUUUUGUUCCAUGUCUUGUAUAGUUUCUUGUUAAUUGUUUGACAAAUGACUUGGUUUGUUAUAAUAGAGUUGAUCCUAUUUUAUAUUAAUAAUGUUAUAGGGUUAGACCUAGGUCAAUUCGAUUCAUGUUGUUGAGUGAUUUUUGAUUGCUUAACUAGUAUGGUUUGUAAUGUUUGUUCGUUUGUCUUACGGAACUAUUGCCUUUUGAAUUAUUAUAUAGUUGAUGUAUAUGUUUGACUACUAUUGACCAUUAUAAGUAUUUAGAUUCUAUCUAAAUAUCUAUUUGUGGUUAACUAUUACCUUCAUCAUGUCAUGUUGUAAAUUGUGUGGUUAAAUGCAUAGGAUGGUUCCUUUUCAUGUGUGUUGAUGCCAUUCUGUUUGUUAGAUAGUAGUUUCCUAUAUAGUUUGUCGAGAUGUGUAGUGGGCAAUACUAGUGUUUAAUUGCAUAUUCGUAUUGGAAUGUUAGUCUUGAUCGCCAAGUAUUUCUUAGUUGUGUCAACCUCAACCAUGUCACUUCAAUGAAUCCUCUCUCUUACAUCCAAUCGUGCUACCUCAUUUUGGAGUCUCCAUCUUGAUCAAUAUCUUGCUAUCCACCCACUCUUAAAUUGUUUUGAAUGUUAUUUGGAUUUGUUAUUGCUUUGGUAUUUAUUUGUUUGUCUUUUGCUAUCAUUACGACGAGUAGGGAGUGACGACGGUGUUGGACAUGGACAGAAACAGGUUACCGAAGGACUCAACAAUGAAGGCAUGCCUCCUUCUUUGAUCAUAUUUAUCCUAUGUUUACAAAAUUGCAUUGUGUUUUAUGGUUACUAUAUGCAUGCUAUUUUUUAAUUCUUGUAGCUAGCGUGUCGAUUGACACAUUACCUUGAUCCGCUUGUCGCCUAUUCAUUUGACACCUGAGUAGAAUUAUAGUAUUCCGGUAGAGUAGAAAUGCUUAGCCAUGCUUAUCCUAUAGGUUCUUUGUUGAAUGACCUCUAAGUCAUUGACAGUUGAAACGUAUUGCUGAGCUAGGCCAGUUGGCCCUUGUUGAUCUCCUCUACUCUCUUCUACUCUGGGUGAAACUUACCAUUUAAAUAUUGGUGCGGGCGACAGCUGAAUCAAGGAUUGAAGGAGCGAUUGGCUACCCUUCACGAUUUGAAGGGGGCAAUCAGACGUUCGUGCCGCAUGAGGCCUAAUAAGUCUUGGAUUUGAAGAUUGUGAUAAUAGUACAACCACAUGCUAUAUGGGCACUGGCUUGGUUAAUUAGUUAGUUCACUCUUAUUGUCGUCAUCACCGUACCGCAGAUGGGAUAGCUGCCUUGCGAGGAGUAUCCUCGGCACAAAAGGGGGGCCCGGACUGUGAACUGCGGUUACUUCCAUGUUGAAACCUAGUGGGCUUGGCACAGUAAGUUUGGUCUAAUGAAAGAUCUCGUCACAAUCUCUCUGCCGGUAUACCAAAUGGUGUACUAUGCUAGUGACGGCUAAUGGCAACAAGUCGGGAUUGUGUCGUGUGGGUAAAGUGUACAACCUCUGCAGAGUGUAAAACUAUUCGAAUAGCCGUGUCUACGGUCAUGGGCAACACAUGAAUCUUUCUUGACGUACGGGACCUGUCUUACUUAUUCCCUCUUUGCCCCUAUUCUUGAAACCUAUGAAGGACAUGAGUUGAUCGAGGAUCCUCACUUGAUGAAAGUUAUUCUGGAGAUAAAACAUGUUUUUCUUCUAAAACUUCUUUUAUCCAACUCAUUUAUUUGUCAAACAAAAUUAGCUUUACGCAAAUGAGCCAUAUAGCCUUCCUUUGAAGCCACAUGUAGCUAUUAGGUCCUUCCCCGUGGGGGGCAUGUUGAGUACGAAAUGUACUCAUGGCAAUACUUUUGUUGAACAACAGAGUUCCAUGAAGACGAAGGUGAUGACUAUGACAACUAUAGUGAUCUGUCGGAGUGAGGUCAUGUGGACUACAUCGACUGCCUGUGGCUGAGAUGGAGUCGCUACGCAUUGUACUUUCCGCUGUUUUCUGAUUGUAAUAAAUGUUACGAGACAUUUCACUAGGUAUGUAUUGUGACAAAUAUACUACUUGUAAUACUUCUAUGUAUUGUGCAAUGAUAUCAUUUCGCUGUGUUGUCAACAAUGAUCCCGGGGUUGACGAAUAUACACAGGAGGGCCUGGCACUACUAGGAAACGGCCUACUAAUGGCGCACCGGUUUUUUCUACUAAUGGCGCACUACCGGUGCGCCAUUAGUAGCACGCCAUUAGAAUUUUUUACUAAUGGCGCACCACUGGUGCGUAUACUAAUGGCGCACCUGCCAGUGCGCCAUUAGUAUGUAACACCAUGCGCCAUUAGUAUGCCUCCCGGGGGGCCAUAUGUAACCAUGUGCUUUGUCACACUAAUGGCGCACUCUGCCACGAUGCGCCAUUAGUAUCCUUUGGCAUACUAAUAGCGCACUCGGCCUUGAUGCGCCAUUAGUAUGAAUAUUUGUUUUUUUUUGCUUUUCUGAUUUUUGCACAGGUUACAAAAUAUGUUAUUGGACAGAAUAUAGACAGCAGCACACAGCAACAUCAGAUUCAUCGAAUACAAUAGAAGAUUAGUCUCUGAAUACAAUUCGUCAUAUUAGUCUCUGAAUUCAAAAGACCGAACAAAGAUAAAACAUUACAAGUCUCAAGACUGCGAGUAUCGAGUUUGUCUUCACAUUACAAGUCGAUAUCGAUCAUCUAAACUACCAUCACAUAAAAGAGAGUUGUGGUCAUCACGAUGAGCAUCAUCGCGAUCAAACUGGUCCUCAUCCGGUUCCUCCAACACUCCCUCCUCUCUCCCGCUAGAUAGCGGGCAUAUCUAGAUUCGGCCUCCGCCCUAGUGGUGUACCCUUUGUAACUGUUACCGCUGAAACGGUGAACCUGUCUCCGACACUCCUCCCAGUCGUCGUAGACUCCGGGAACCUUACCCUUGUACACGACAUACGACGGCAUCUCUAUGCACAAGCCAAACAACAGACAAUACAUAAGCAAUAUGUAAGUAUGCAACAAAAGGAUCGAAAGAGAAAAGCAAGACAUUAAUAGCACGAUUCAUGGUCCUACUAAUAAAUAGCAUCGAUUACAUCUAAGUUGAACGACUGUCCAAACCAAAGAGACAUACGAAUUCAUCAAAGUUUAAUUACAACAUGAGCUAAUCAAUGUUUCAGAACUACACAUAACUACUUUCGACUCGACUCAUCGGACAGGAGCGUGGAUGAAGCCGCCGUCUGUCGUGAUGGUCAUGAAAUCGCGGUCGUUGUCACCCUGCAUUUGUAGUGUUUCAUCUAUCUCACUGUUGGACGGUUGAUAUCUGACGAAGAACUGCCCCGAGGUAUGAAGGACAUCUUGAUGGAUGAUGUCCGCAAACUCCGACUGGAUGCGAAAGAAUUCUUGUCCGAGGUCCGCGUCCUGGACUGCUGACAACCUCGCGGCCCAAUCUUUGAGAUUAUCUGGUAGCAGAAGUUGAUGAUGGUCCCUUACGAUCGCCCGCAUGUGAUGGAGGGCGUAGUAGGCAUCCUUCUGACCGCCAGGCGGCUGCUUGACACAGCAGAACUUCGUAUUGUGUGAGAACAUGUGCUUGCCGUACUUACGAACUGCCCUGGUGAAGGUGCCUCCAGAUUUGGCGUAGCCGGGGAGAACAUCAUCAAGAACUUUCUUGACAUUUGUGUAGUCUAUCUUGGAGUUACGGUUCGGGUCGAAAUACGUGGCCAUGGAAUAUUUCGGGCUUAAGAGGAUGAGUGUGCAAUAUGUGUCACUGCACAGAACACGGAAUGUUAGAAAAAAAAGAACGAUCAAAAUCUAAGAAAUCAUAUGUUACAGGGCGGUUAAGGGAUGACUUACUCGGGAAAGUAAGCCACAAGGAAGUUAUCCUUAUCUGGGUUUGCCAGAAUGACGCCUUCAAGGUGUGAACUCGCAACUUGGCGGUCCCCAACGCUGUUCAAGUGCUUGGCACGCAUGUAGAAGGGGUCGACUAUCACGAUGUCCGGGGUCUUGUCUCUAAUGAUCCGCAUCUCCAUACUCAGCGAAAUAGCCGAACAAAGGUGUAGUGCAGCGGAUGAAGGUUAAACAUAGCAAAGGUGUCAUCAAACCGCAGGAUGAUCGUACCCACGAUGUCGCCAUCUGCAAAGCCCUUGCCCUCUGGCACCUUGGCCACGAAAACCGGGUAUGCUACAUCAUUCUCUCUCAGACGCCGCUUCUCCAAAGAAAGAACACUGUCGUGCAGACUCCGCAUAGCACCGGUUGCAGCAUUCAGCAUAUUUGGCGGUAGCAUCGCCCUACCCACCACAUGCACCCUCCUCGAGAUAUCCUUAGGUGAAGGUGGCCCGUCCUGAGUACGGAUCGAACUCGGUGCCGGUUGGCUCGCACCAGCGCCCUUGUUAGUCUUUCGUUUCCGUCCCUUCUUCUUGAUCUCCUGUAAUGGGACCGAGUUCUGCUCACAGACCGCUUUCUUGAGCGUGUUGGGGCUGAUGAUAUUUCGCACCUCAGCUAUCAGAGGCUCGGUGAAGGCGGGAGCUGGAGGCGUUUCCAGAGAACUGAACGGCAGACGACGCCUAUUGCAAUUGGAUUUUUCCGCCGUACCAGCUAGAUUGCGAUCGUCUUGGUUGGGUUCUUGAGAAAGAGGCCCGCAGAACUCGUCAGCGUACCCAUGUUCGGCAAAGUACUUAUCGACUUUGGUAAAUGUACCGUCAUCGUUGUCGUCGUCGUCCGGAUCCUGUGCCAUAGGGCUGUCCGGAUCCUGUGCCAUAGGUAUGUCCGACAUAGGGAUGUCCGGCAGGUCCGGUAGCGUUGCGGCGUUCUUGCCAUGGCUUGGCGCCGGCACGACUGGCAGUCUUGUCUGUGGCGUGGUGUCCCCCGCCCCCAAACGAAUCUGGCUCUUCGGCCAAAGCAGCGGCCAGUUUACGCAGGCGCUGAGGGUCAUCUCAUCUUCUUCGUCGGCCCCAGCAGGUCGAACCAGAGGUAACAGCUCGUCGCAGCCUGGCAGCACCCGAACCACUUCAACCCUAUACACUGUGGGUGGCAUCGGAUUAUCGUGGAACAUGCGGUUGCCCGGUUGAACGAUUCUGCCCUUGGCGACAUCGACCAACUCGGCGCCCACGAAGUGCAGAAGAGUGCAAGGAACGUCGGCGGUGCCCUGCGAAAACAUGUACAGGGCGUCAGGGAUGCCUAGUUAAAGGCAAGGAGAUGAAGUCAUCGGCCGAGAGGCUUAGUUACCGUGAUGCCGUCGAGCUCGGCUAAUGUCGAGGGAUCGCUGACAGCGGGCAUGCAACUGACGGAGGGGGAGCUUGCUGGCGAGGUGCCGGCCGGCGUACACCCGGGUGCAUUAAGCUCCAAUGCCCGUGCCGGCACCGGAGACACGAAUACCGCCUCUACCGGAGACACCAAUGGCGCCGCCGCCGAAGACACCAAUGGCGCCGCCGGAGACACCAAUGGCGCCACCUGCGCGUUGUGUGAGUUGCUGGCCGUGAAGCUGGGAACCGGGGGAGGCCCCUGUUGGCCGCCCGCAAUCCACGUCAUCAGCCCAUGAAUCAACGUAGGCACCAUGGCGUUGAGCUUCGUUCCCAGUUGUUGUUCCACUUGCUCUUGGACAAGCUCCGGAAUCCGCGCCACUUGUGCCUUGAGUGCUUCAACCUCGCGCGUCUGGCUUUCAGAGCUGGCCUUUUUCUCCUUCCGCACACCAGCGGUAUAGUAUGACCCUCAUUUUGUGGACAAGCCUUUGCCGGCCACACGACCAGCUGACGUCAGCUUAGUGAGCUUAUCCUUGCUUUUCAUUAUGUUCAACGCCCUAUUUAAAGGGCUGUCGAAAGGGGAGCUCUAAGACGACCCCGCGCUACUGCUUUCAGUUUUCUGCGAAAGGAACGUGAACCAUUUAGAAAUAUUGGGGAUUAGUUAGAGUGCAACCAUAUGGAGCUAAUUACACGGGGUUGUAUUCCUUACCAGAACAAGCUCAAGCGCCCUAGUCUUCGGAUCCGUGGUAAGCUCCUUUGUUAUCGGGUCCUCCUUGUACCGGGCCCUGACAUAGUUCCUGGUCUGCUUGUUACCGCUGUAUUUCUCGAAGCGGGGCGGUAGGCCUUGCUCGGCACGCUCCGUGUCCUCCUUGUCCCAUAUAGGCUCCGCCACUCUGUAACCGCCGGGACCAAGUUUGUGUUCCCCUAAGUUCAACUCCCGCAUUCCUUUUCCCCACUGACUUGAUUCGGUGGUUCCAGUGCUCUCGCACUUUAUCUUGAACUCCUUGUAGUCAUCUUCGCUCAUCAAAGGAUAUUUCGCCUUGAUCUUCUCAUAACUAUCACCUUUAUCAAUCAUUCUCUUCACCGCGCUUCUCCAAGUAGACAGGGCCGUGCUCAUCUUCGCGAGGGCGGCACUGUUCACUUUAUUCCCUGAGAGGCGUGUGUUUUCAAAUUUGGCGAGGAACUUGUAUCGUUCGUGCAGCUUCGUGAAGAGGAGGCUGCGCAAAUUCCCUCGGUCCUUAUGCCUAAGGUUCUCGGUGUUGAUCGAGACGGUGCUCCGGAGAAUGCACCCGAGCUGAAUUGAGUACCCCUUGACUAUAUGUUUGGGCUCCGUUGGAUUCCUGUCGGAGUCCACUUGAGUGAAUUCCUCCUUGAGGGUGCGGAGCGCAUUCGGGCACCGGUCCUUCCUUUGCUUCUUCGGUUGGCUGCCAUCUGUGUGUGCGCCGCCAUCAUCAGUGGUGGCAUCCUCGGCGGCACCAUCAGUGGUGUCAUCCCCGACGCCACUAGGGGUUGUGUAAUCAGGAUCGGUGUCUUCCGCGGCGUCCUCAUAGCGGUGAGGUUGUUCCUCCAUCUCCUGUGACAGCUCCCAGAAUUGCUUGCCGCCCGAACCGCCGGCCUCAUCGUUGUUGGCCAUGUUUCGCUUUAAAUAGGAAAACAAUUUGGUCAAAAAGUUGGUUAUUGUCAAGGAACAAGAUCAUGGUCUCAUCAUUUAGGGUUUGUCGACACCGAGGCAUCCUAAAAGCUAAGCUUUUAUCAUUUAGGGUUUGUCGACGCCGAGGCACCCUAAAAGCCUAAGCCGAGGCACCCUAGGUUGGGCCUAAUCACUUGGCACUAAUCACUUGGCCCUAUUGCCACCUAUGGUUUAAUGCAGCAAGAAUGGCGGGGCAUUUGAUCCUACUUAACUAAGUACUAAGAUACCCCGGUCCAUGCAUUAGUCGCAAGUACCCCAUAUGUCCUAUUUUUAGCAAAGUCAUGCUAAAAUUUCAGCAUGACCUUUGCUAAAAAUAGGACAUAUGGAGUACCCGAAUUUUCCGGAACGGAAGUUAAUCAACAUUCCGGCAAAAUUAAGGGCCUCUCAGGGUACCUGCAAAUUCAUCACGACACGAUGGUCGGAGACAAAACCCAGCAAACUUGCAAGAUGAUCAUCAUCUUUGCAAGAUAGUAGCUCAAGUUUUUGACAGUAGCCUCUGAAGAAAACAACAUUGCAACAUUCAAGUUCACAGGAGAAAAAAAUCAUCCACAUUCACCAACCCACAUGAUGUUAAAACCCACAUGAGCUGUAAACAGACUUAAAAACCCACAUGAUGUUAUAACUGUAUACACUAAACAUGAUGAUACCAAAUGGGAAGGAAAAUUGUAUCACUCUAGAUUAGUGUAGCCACUAUCUAACAAAACCAGAAUGUUAACAAAAUUACACCAUGAUGAUACCAAAUUCUUGUAGCAGUACAAUGAGUUCACAGGAUAAAAAAAUCAUCCACAUUCGCCAACCCAAACAGGUGGAGAUACAACAAACCAGAACCUCCCAGGUUUCUGCCAUUUUAUUUUUCCCACUGUAUAUCUUUUUUGAUUCAUGUCAUGGUACUUGCUGUCAAACCAAGUAUUUUCUUUCUACAUAAUCUGGGAAGUUUCCUUCUUACUGUCUCACUAUCUUAUUGUCUCACUACAAAAAACUAGUAUGCUUAGUUGAGACUAGUAUGCUUAGUUGCAUUGUGACAGACAAAAACUACAAAUAUUUGUGUUUUUAGUUGAGCAAUACAACGACAAUGUGAUAGGCAAGUUUCAGCUGGCAAAGUGUCAUGAUUCAGACAACAGAGCAGCUAAGCAUAGCAAGUGGAUAGUUUAGUCAGUAUACUAGUACUCUUUAGAAAGCAUGAGACAUAUAUUACCUGGAGGAGACUUCGUCGGAGAGUUGCCUGUGCAUUGAAAAUACAACGAGAUCAGCAAAGGAUAGUAAGAUAUAUACUGAAAUUAUCAUAACAAAAUGCCAGCUACUGCCAUGGUCAAAGAAUAGAUUAUGAUAGCUGGACAAGUACAGGUCAAACUAGAUAAUUUUCAGAACCGGUUUAACCACCGCAGGAUAAAAUAAUGCAUCCAAGACUGUGCUUAGACUAAUAUCCUCAUAGCAUAAUCUGACAUCAAGCAAAUAUUAUAAGAACAGUGAAAAUGUAUGUUCACUGCAAAUGAAUGUGGACCAAAUGAAUAUGGACCAAGUAUCCUCUAAAAUGCAUCUAAAUGCAAGCUCAGAGAUUUAAACAUUUGGAAAACCCUAGCUACUUAAUUCUCCAACCACCUUUCCUUGUCCAAACUUCUCCAACCCCCAACCCUAGAACACAUCAGAAGAAAAUAAAGAGGGGGAAGAGGGGGAAGCGGCUCGGGUGCUCACUUGGGAGGUCGAGGGCGACUCGGGGCAGCCGGAGCUAGUCGAGGCGGCGCGAAUUCGGCCUCGAGCAGUGGCGCUCCUCCUGGGCAGGCCGCACGGUCGAGGGAGUCGAGCGGUGGCAGUCCUCUUGGGCGUCCGAGCUCGUCCGGGUCCUCGUAGUCGAAGAGGAAGACGACGGUGGUCCUCCUGGGCAGGUCGCGCGGUGUUGGACGUCGAGCAUGUCGAGGGCGCAGGUGGGGCCACGGGGGGAGGGGGCGCUUGGGCCGGAGGACGUCAAGGGAGGCGGCGCUCGGCUUGGGGACGGCGAGGGAGGCGGCGCUGGGCUCGGGGACAGCGAAGAAGGCGAGGGGGGCGGCGAGGGGGACGGCGAACACGGGGGGCAGCGGGUAAGAUCGAUGAGGUAGGGGAGAGAUUAGAGAGAUUGGGGAUUUAGUGUGGGGGGAAGCUUUCUAAUGGCGCACCACCCCCUCGUGCGCCAUAAGUACGGCUAUUCUAAUGGCACACCACCCCUCGGUGCGCCAUUAUAAUUUUGUUUUAAUCUAGCCCACUAGCCCUAUCUACAACCUAGCCCUAUCUACAACAGAACCCACCCACUAGCCCGACUGGUCAGCACGCAGCACACACACCAGGAGGUCCUGGGUUCGAUUCCCAGGCUCCCCAAUAUUUUUUUAUGCAUUUUAAAUGCUGCUUUUUAUAUUUAUUUGUGUUUAAAUAUGUCCUCCUGGAAUCGAGAUCGAGAUGGAGGGGGAUCGAGAUCAAGUGUCCUCAUGAUUUCAAAAAGUGCCCAUGAAAUUUAAAAAUAUUCAUGAUAUCAAAAAGUGCCCAUGAAAUACAAUCGAGAAAUGAAGACUACGAUUUAAUACAAUCGAUCUUAGCUAGCUAUCUGUUCACAAUCUUCUUGCCCUUCUUUUUUGCAAAUGGAGUUCUUCUGUGGAACGGACGUCCUUUAGGUAGGGUGGUCGAUCCUUCCGUAGUAUCUGUCCUUGUCCUUACUGGUGUAGGAUUCCAUUGUUACCCCGGAGUUCUGAUAACCAUCGCUCUUCAUGUCCUUGUCCUCGGUGUAGAAUGUGUAGCCAUUGAUAUCGUACGCCUCAUAGGUCAUCAGGUUGUGCUCGGCGCCCUGUGACAAGGCGAAUAUGAGUUGUUCUUCCGCGGAAGAAUCCUCAUGUAAAGGGUACGACAGAAGCUUCUGCUUGAACCAACGCGUGAAACAUGAGUUGUGCUCUUUCAGUAUAUCUCCGUCCGUCCUCUGUUGGCCUCGGUCAUUGUACGUAUUCUCAAUAAAGGUUUUGUGCUCUACCACCCAAGGAUCGACCACGUCUAUGUGUUGUAGCACGACUAGGUUUGCUCUUUCAAAGUCGGCGAGUCGACCCUCGAAGUCGACAUGCAUUUCGCAGCGACCCUCACGGUGACCCCAUCCAGUGAGCCUGCCGAGGUGCCUGUUGACGGGCAGACCAACGGGGUUCUCGAUGCCUAGAUAAUUCGUGCAGUAGGAGAUGCACUCUUCGGUCAGAAAGCCCAUGGCUAUACUUCCCUCUGGACGUGACAUGUUCCGAACGUAUCCAUUGAUGACACCAUUCAUCCUUUCGAACGGCAUCAUGCUGUGCAGGAACGUCGCCCCGAGUUGGAUGAUAUCCUCCACGAUAUGGACCAGCAGAUGCACCAUAACAUCGAAGAAUGCGGGCGGGAAGUACAUCUCAAGCUCGCAUAGUAUCACCACGAUCUCUUCCUGUAGCCUUCUGAGUUGCCUCACGCCAAUCGACUUCCGAGAGAUGACGUCGAAAAAGUUGCAUAGGCCAAAUAGCGUUUCAUGGACGUGCGCGUCCAUGAUCCCACGGAUUGCAACUGGAAGUAUCUGCAUCAUCAGCACGUGACAGUCGUGAGACUUCAUCCCGCUGAACUUCUGCUUCGCUGGGUCUAGGUAUCUGCUUAUCUUCCCUGCGUAACCGUAAGGAAGUUUUACUCCUAGGAGGCAGGUGAAAAACUGCUCGAUCUCCUCCUGACUUAGAGUGAAGCACGCGGGAGGGUAGUCAUUUCCGGUCUUCUUGGCCUUUUUGCCUUUGCGACGACUUUCUGUGUCCUGCUUCGCCUCAUCAUCAUCAUCAUCAUUAGCGUGAAGCUCCUGCCUGAUGCCCAUUGAUUUCAAGUCUGCCCUUGCUUUCGGCCCAUCUUUGGUCCUCUUUGGCUUGUUGAGCAGGGUACCAAGCAGACUCUCGCACACGUUCUUCGUGAUAUGCAUGACAUCAAGGCUGUGAGGCACACGGUGGAUCUUCCAGUACGGCAAGUCCCAGAAAACAGACCUUGUUUUCCAUACCUUCAGCAGCGGCUCUGGCGCCUUUUGCUUCUUUCCUGGCUCUGGCGCCUUUUGCUUCUUUCUCGGCAGUGGGCAGUCUUUCCAAUUUUUCAACAGCUCGUCUAUUUCCUCGCCGCUCCUCGUACACGGGCGUUUUCGGGGUUUGGUUUCACCAUCGAACAGAUCCUUGCGUUUCCUCCACGGGUCAUCGUCGCGAAGCCACCUUCGAUGUCCCAUGAACACGGUUUUCAAAGACCCGGGAUCUCUAUCUAGCUGGCGAUACGUUGUGUCAUCCAUGCACCUUACGCAUCCAGAAAAUCCGUGGACUACCUGCCCCGCGAGAUAUCCGUAACCAAUAUAGUCGUGCACCAUCGUGAGAAGUGCGGCUCUCAUAGGGAAAUAUUCUUUCUCUGCGGCGUCCCACGUAUUGGCCGGCGUUUUCCACAGCGUGUCUAGCUCCUCCUUCAGCAGCCCCAGAUACAGAUUGAUGUCGUUCCCUGGUUGUUUCGGCCCUUCAAUUAGCAUACUCAUGUGAAUGUACUUCCUCUUCAUGCACAACCAGGGGGGAAGGUUGUACAUCCACACAAACACAGGCCAGGUGCUAUUUGUGCUUCUCUGCCUGCCAAACGGAUUGACUCCAUCGGUGCUCGCGCCCAGCACGAUGUUCCUUGGAUCCUUCCCAAAUUCUGGGUAUUCAAAGUUCAACGCUUGCCACUGGCUCGCAUCCUUAGGGUGACUCAGCAUCUUGUCUUUUUUAUUUAUCUCCGGAUCAUUUCCAUCAUCUUCCCGCUUCUUCUCCUCCCUAUCCGCGUGCCAACGUAGGAGCUUUGCUACCUUAGGGUCCGCGAAAUACCGCUGCAGACGAGGAGUGAUCGGAAAGUACCACACCGAUUUUUGAGGAGCUUUCUCCCUCUUCUUGUAUCGAGUGACACCGCACACCGGACAUAUGGUAGACUCCGCGUGCUCGUCCCGAUAAAUGAUGCAAUUGUUCAUGCACACAUGGUAUCUCACGUGUGGUAAAUCCAAAGGACACACGAUUUUCUUCGCCUCCUCGAAACUGGUCGGGCACUUGUUCCCCUUGGGAAGACGUUCGUGCCAGAAUGACAUGUUCUCGUCGAAGCAUGCAUCGGUCAUUUUGUGUUUUACCUUCAUCUCCAGAGCCAUGAGCGUUACUUUCAGGCGGGUAUCCUCGGGCCUGCAUCCUUCAUACAAUGGAGUAACCGCGUCUAUCUCCAGUUGAUCCAGUUUGGCUUUCUCUCGGGUGGCAGCUCUUGCGUUAUCCGUCUGCUUGCGAAGCAGCUCUUGAAUAUGAGGGUCCUGCACCGAGCCUCCAUCGUCGUCUGCUCCGGCAUCUUCAUCUUCAUGAUCAUGCCCUUCGUCUUGAUCUUCCUCAUCAUCAUGUACGACAUCUUCUACAUGAUGAUUGUGUACAUCAUCACCGUCGUGAUCAUGUCCUGGAGAUUCUUCGUCUUCUCGCCCGCCCUCGCCGCGGUGGUUGUCUUGUUGCCCUUCCUCAUUUCUUGCCCGGCCUCCAUGGACGACUUCAUAGUCAUCUUCAUCACCUUGCCACCAAUAGCCAUCCAUGAAACCACGCAAGAGCAGGUGGUCCCACACCUGCUCGGAAUCCGGGUCCGCAAUAAGGCUCUUCAGCUUGCAUCUUCGACACGGACAUCUUAUCUCCGUCUCGUUCUUUUGAAGCAUCUCGGCCUUCGCGGAGCUCAAAAACCUAUUCAUGAUGCCUUUGGUCAUCGUGCGGACCAUGGUCGCCUGCGGGGUAGAGCAAAACGAUAUUUUAGAACCAAGAAAAAAUUUGGCAUGACCUUCCCUAAAAAUAGGACAAAAAAGAAUGCAUAGUGCCAAAAUUCUCGCCGAAACGGAAAUGAAUCAACAUUUCAGCAAAAUAUUGGUAAACACAAACAUAUAUUCAACACCACAAACACAAGCAACACCACAAACAUACAUAGAUCUAGCUAGACCACAAAAAGUGCAUGUGCACGUUGUUGGAGCGAGCUAGGGAGAAAAAAAGUAGAUCUACAUCAUGAAGAUAGCUUUCCCCUUACUUACCUAUCAAAAAAAGGUGAUUUCACCACUUAAUUUUGAUGAAUCUAUGGUGGAAAUGAGGUGAGGAGGAGGAGGCAGCCGAGACAAGCUUGGAGGAGGAGGUGGAGAGAAUGAAGUGGGGAAAGUGAGUGGUAGGUGGGCUGUCCAAAAUAUCUUGUUCGUCCCAGGUUACUAAUGGCGCACCACCACAGAAUGCGCCAUUAGUAACCCUGGUUACUAAUGGCGCACCAGCAGGUGGUGCGCCAUUAGUACUUUUUGCAGAAAAGUAAAAAAACAUAUGUAUACCAAUGGCGCACUGUGGAAAAGUGCGCCAUUACUAGUUUAAACUAGUAAUGGCGCACUUUGGUACAGUGCGCCAUUAGUAGGUUUGCAAAAAAGUAAAAAAUAUAUAUAUACUAAUGGCGCACUGUCUUGGUCGUGCGCCAUUACUAGUUCUAACUAGUAAUGUGCACUUUGCCGUCCAUGCGUCAUUAGUUUGUAUGGAAAAAUGGAAAAAAAAUAAAUAGUAGUGGCGCACCGUGAGCACGGUGCGCCAUUAGUGUCUUCCACACUAAUGGCGCACGAGCAACCGGUGCGCCAUUAGUAUAUAGUAGUGGCACACUACUUACGUGGUGCGCCAUUAGAAUCAGUCCUAUCUAUAGCCCUUUUCCUAGUAGUGUGGAAGUUAAUUCCGGGUUCUCACAGAAGUGGUAUCAGAGCCGACGUCGACCUAGUCGCGUGGCCUUAGUUAGAAAUAGAAAGCCUUAGGGACUAUUGUUAUAAGAAAAACUAUUUUGAAAAGGAUCAUUCUCGUACUCUUCUCCUUCACUAUUGCUAUUGUAAUCUCAUCUUAUUCAAUUGAAUUUAAACUCUACUUCCCUACCAUCUUCUUUGUAGUAUGUGAAACCCUUUUCCCCGCCCUUGGUGUUGACAAGUCAAAAGCUUCACACGGUGUGCCAAGAAUUUCAAGAUAACUUCGACCCCUGAAGCUUUGAGUAGCAACAUUUUUCCAAGAGAAGACACUUUGAGACCUCAAGAAGGCAAUAACCAUCGAUCAUGCUCCAAUCGUCAACGUCGAAGAUUUGCCCCAAGAUUUAUUGUGACCAGUCAUAUAGGAUUAGGUUGGUUAACACCUUUGUAGUGAUAGAACUCCUAGCUAGUAGACGCAAAAAUAUUUUUGUGCGAGUAUUGUCUGCAUAUAUUUCUUCUGGCCUUUUCCUAUGCAGUCAUACUAAAACCCUAUUUGCCAAAAUGAGUUGCCUUUGAGUUCUAUUUGGAUAUCUUCAUGGCUAUCUCAGUUAUCUUUUGUUUAGCUUAUGUGGUAUCUCUGCCUUUUGUAGGAUUCUUUUACUCAUCUUUAUGCUUUUCUCUCUUCUCUAUAAACCUUGGAAGACACUUUGAGAGCAAGGAAGCCACAACAACCGC